AUGAUAGACCUCAACACCGAUCAGAGGCUUGACCAACGGAAAUAUAAUGGACCGGUGUCAUCUGAGGUCGCUGCAAUCUGGGUCGAGGGCACUGACCUAGCGAAAAGGUUUGAUCGUAGGAUUACACUUUGCGGUAACAACAACCAGAGGCACAGUAUACAUGUGACUGAUGGCUCAUAUGACCCGUUGUCUUAUCCACUCUUCUACCCAAGGGGGGAGCUCGGUUGGCAUCUGAAGCUACCUAAACGGAAUGUCCCUUGGGAGGUUGUACAACAACCAAGAGGGGGCGAUGAUGAUAUGGAUGCAGGUAUGCUUUUUGCGUAUUCUGUCAUUCUGAUA
rnacentral:rRNA from 1 species